rnacentral:rRNA from 1 species
GACGAACGCUGGCGGCGUGCUUAACACAUGCAAGUCGAACGGAAAGGCCCUGCUUUUGUGGGGUGCUCGAGUGGCGAACGGGUGAUUAACCCGUGAGUAACCUGUCCUUGACUUUGGGAUAACUUCCGGAAACUGGGGCUAAUACCGGAUAGGAGCUCCUGCUGCAUGGUGGGGGUUGGAAAGUUUCGGCGGUUGGGGAUGGACUCGCGGCUUAUCAGCUUGUUGGUGGGGUAGUGGCUUACCCAGGCUUUGACGGGUAGCCGGCCUGAGAGGGUGACCGGCCACAUUGGGACUGAGAUACGGCCCAGACUCCUACGGGAGGCAGCAGUGGGGAAUAUUGCACAAUGGGCGGAAGCCUGAUGCAGCAACGCCGCGUGCGGGAUGACGGCCUUCGGGUUGUAAACCGCUUUCGCCUGUGACGAAGCGUGAGUGACGGUAAUGGGUAAAGAAGCACCGGCUAACUACGUG